rnacentral:tRNA from 1 species
GGUCGGAUAGCUCAGUUGGUAGAGCGCGCGCCUGAAAAGCGCGAGGUCGUCGGAUCGACGCCGACUCCGACCA